GGUAUAGCUCAGUGGCAGAGUGUGUGCUUAGCAUGCACAAGGUCUUGGAUUCAAUCCCCAGUAAUGCCA
rnacentral:tRNA from 1 species